GUGCUCGCUUCAAUGAGCACAUAUACUAAAACUGGAAUGAUACAGAGAAGAUGAGCAUGGCCCCGUGCAAGGAUGACAUGCAAAUUCAUGACCCAUUCCAUAUUUUU
rnacentral:snRNA from 1 species